CAGGAAAGGGACGGCUAAAUACGUGCCAGCAGCCGCGGUAAUACGUAUGUCCCGAGUCGUUAUCCGGAUUUAUUGGGCGUAAAGCGAGCGCAGACGGUUUAUUAAGUCUGAUGUGAAAGCCCGGAGCUCAACUCCGGAAUGGCAUUGGAAACUGGUUAACUUGAGUGCAGUAGAGGUAAGUGGAACUCCAUGUGUAGCGGUGGAAUGCGUAGAUAUAUGGAAGAACACCAGUGGCGAAGGCGGCUUACUGCACUGCAACUGACGUUGAGGCUCGAAAGUGUGGGUAGCAAACAGGAUUAGAUACCCUGGUAGUCCACACCGUAAACGAUGAACACUAGGUGUUAGGAGGUUUCCGCCUCUUAGUGCCGAAGCUAACGCAUUAAGUGUUCCGCCUGGGGAGUACGACCGCAAGGUUGAAACUCAAAGGAAUUGACGGGGACCCGCACAAGCGGUGGAGCAUGUGGUUUAAUUCGAAGCAACGCGAAGAACCUUACCAGGUCUUGACAUCCUUUGAAGCUUUUAGAGAUAGAAGUGUUCUCUUCGGAGACAAAGUGACAGGUGGUGCAUGGUCGUCGUCAGCUCGUGUCGUGAGAUGUUGGGUUAAGUCCCGCAACGAGCGCAACCCUUAUUGUUAGUUGCCAGCAUUCAGAUGGGCACUCUAGCGAGACUGCCGGUGACAAACCGGAGGAAGGCGGGGACGACGUCAGAUCAUCAUGCCCCUUAUGACCUGGGCUACACACGUGCUACAAUGGCGUAUACAACGAGUUGCCAGCCCGCGAGGGUGAGCUAAUCUCUUAAAGUACGUCUCAGUUCGGAUUGUAGUCUGCAACUCGACUACAUGAAGUCGGAAUCGCUAGUAAUCGCGGAUCAGCACGCCGCGGUGAAUACGUUCCCGGGUCUUGUACACACCGCCCGUCACACCAUGGGAGUUUGUAAUGCCCAAAGCCGGUGGCCUAACCUUUAGGAAGGAGCCUUUAAAG
rnacentral:rRNA from 1 species